rnacentral:lncRNA from 1 species
AACAAGAAGAAGCUGGCAGCUAUGUUUAAGUAUUUGUAGCUUUUGCAUCCAUUCAGCUUCUCAUACUAAGUGAUAGCUUGUCAAAUUUUCAAGAAGUUAUAGGUUAAAACCAGAAGAAAAGAAACAAAGAGCACAACAAAAGGCUGAGGUAGAAUAGGAAAGAUGAGGAUGGUGAAAGUUAAGCAGAAGACAUUUAAUCAGAAAUCCAGCACCAGAAUAAUUUUUAAGUGCUGUUGAAAGAACUGGUUAAAAUUAGACUGAGCACAGAUUUUGCUCUCCUUUUUUGAAAUCUAGUUUGUAUCAUAUUCUCUCCCGUCAAAUGUGUCUGUAAGAAUUCAAAGGCAAAAUUUCAAAUGCAGAUGGUUGUACUGAAAGACCCACAGUCCUCUGAAAUACAACCAAACCUUUCCCUCCAUUCCUUCAUGUACUACCCGUGUUUGUCUUUUUUUAGUAAAACAAUACAGUACAGUGUAACCUGAAAAACUAAAUAUGUGCAACCUAAUUGGAAUAAACUAUGAAUAAAGCAGAAGACUGUAAAUGUCAUGCCCCUUGUUGAAGGAUUUUUGUUUCACAAGGAUUAUUUUUUGCCUUGGUCAUUAAGAGAUCAAACCAUAACUCUAAGUAUCUGAAUGGGGUAAAAAUCAGGAAAAUUUUAUGAUAUAAAAAUAUAAAAUCAUUUGUUAGAUGUAUUAGAAAAAUGUUAGAUGUAUUUAGAAAGAGCAUGUGUUACAAUAAGAUUAUCAUUCUUCACAGGUUCUUCUGUAUGGCAAACUCUAAACUUCCUACAAGUUACCUCAGGCCAUUUGCUUCAUUACAGUAUCAAGAGAUGAAACCCAGUGCAGCAGCAUGACAGAAGAUACAUUGAACCAGUCAGCAGACCCAUGAAGAGAGAAACUGGACCUUUCUGUGGUAACAACACAAUUUCAAAGUGGUGCUCUUGAGAAGUGUCUGACUCCAAUAGCAGCAUUCCCUUUGAAUCUCCUGUAACUCAAAAUAAGUCUACAGCUUCAAAGAUUUAUAUAUAUCUAAGGCUGUAUUUUCAAAUUCUUCUAUAUAUUUCUGUAAAACUAAUUUUUCAUCAUAUCUCAACUUGUGCAACUAUUUUGCAUGAAAACUUAAAUCCAAAGAAAACUCCCUAGGAGUCAUCUUUUUUAACACUCAUCAAUUUUAAUAAGAAAGUGUUUUUUACUUUCCUUUUGAACCCCUUUUGAUUUUUACCCUCUCAAAAACAGCACUGCGUUCCCUUUUUCUUUUUUUUUUUUUUAUUUUCUGUACCAUCCAACAUCCUUUUCUUUUCAUAUUAAAGCAUUUUGCUUCACAGCUGCUAUUGCCAAAAUAUUAAUUUUGAGUUGGUUGGAGCUGUGUAUGUUGUAUGAGCUGUGUCAGUGCAGAAUUGCUGCCACACCUUGGAUUGCACUGUAGACAGUUUGCUUUUUGAAAAGCAAGCUUCCAUCACGUUACACUCACAACCAUUGCGGUGGCCUUUUUUUUUUUUUUUUUUUUGGGGGGGGGGCAGUGGUUAGAAGAGUUGCUCUUUACAGUUACUGUUAGUAAAAAUAAAUGUUAUUGGAAUGCACA